GCGGAUGUAGCUCAGCUGGUAGAGCACCGGAUUGUGGCUCCGGUUGUCGCGAGUUCGACCCUCGUCAUUCGCCCCA
rnacentral:tRNA from 3 species